GACGAACGCUGGCGGCGUGCUUAACACAUGCAAGUCGAGCGAGUGAGUUCUUCGGAACGAUCUAGCGGCGGACGGGUGAGUAACACGUGGGCAACCUGCCUCAUAGAGGGGAAUAGCCUCCCGAAAGGGAGAUUAAUACCGCAUAAAAUUAUCGAGUGGCAUCACAUGAUAAUCAAAGGAGUAAUCCGCUAUGAGAUGGGCCCGCGGCGCAUUAGCUAGUUGGUGAGGUAACGGCCUACCAAGGCGACGAUGCGUAGCCGACCUGAGAGGGUGAUCGGCCACAUUGGGACUGAGACACGGCCCAGACUCCUACGGGAGGCAGCAGUGGGGAAUAUUGCACAAUGGGGGAAACCUUGAUGCAGCAACGCCGCGUGAGUGAUGAAGGUCUUCGGAUUGUAAAGCUCUGUCUUUGGGGACGAUAAUGACGGUACCCAAGGAGGAAGCCACGGCUAACUACGUGCCAGCCGCCGCGGUAA
rnacentral:rRNA from 1 species